GGCAGCAGCUGGUAGUCCCUGAGGAAGACAUGAACAAGAAGCCAUUUGAAAGCAUUAUCUUCUAGAAACUAAAUUUCAAAACAAGGAAGAAACCACAGCUCAGAUGGAAACUGCAUUUCCCGCCUCUGUUGAGUUAGGAGUGGUCAUGUGACUGAGUUUCAGACAACUGGAAAAUGGGCAGAAGAAGUGAUCUGAAAUCAGAGGAUCCGCUGAAGAACUCCAAGUCGCUGCCAAAUGGAAAGCCAUCAUAUGAAUAAAUUCUGUUUCCAGAGGACUGGGUAGAGCUCCUUCCACCCCCACCAACCAGAUGACCUAUACUGAACUGUAAUAAAAGAGAAAUAAAUCUUUACUGUGUUAAGCCAAUGAGAUCUGGGUGUUUGUU